AGCCCAUUAAUCGAGACCAAGAAAGUUAUCAGCAAAUAGAGAUGAAUAGCCAACUAGUAUUCACCAUUGUGUUAGCGACAGUAGGUCUGAUGUUCCUUGGUACUGCCCCGGUAGACGGUUUUCAACGUCCACUCCACUGCCAAUGUAUCACCAGUCCAUGUAAACCACCCGCGAUUGAUAUAAAAAGAUUUUGUCAUUCAAAGUGUGGAGGACAUGGAAGAGUAUGUUGUACUGGUAUCCACCACCACGGGUAGUUCCCCACGAUCGAUUUAUUAAUUCAAUGUAUGAUUAAAAGAGAGGACUUCAUAAUGAAAGUUCUUCAAGAAGAAAGCGUAUGCAGCUUAAACGCUUCUAGGCGCAAACAAUGUAAUGGAUUGCGAUAUUAUACUUGAAUGAAAUAAAUGAGUGAAAUAACUACUCAAUAAACCGUUGUCAUUUAUGAAA